UUAUCAGAGUGAGGAGAUAAGAAUGAUGAUGAUGUUGUCUGACAGAGGUAGGGAUGAAUGGUUAGGUACACUAAAUUAAUUAAAGGCAUAUGCUAUAAUACACCAGGUAUGAAGAAACAAAGAAGAGAAAAUUUCAUAUUUGGCCCUAUUAAACUUAACUUCCCUUCUUUGACCUUUUUUUUCUAAAAUUCACUAUUUGACACCAUAACUUAAUUUUUUCCCUAAACUGGUCCUUCUAUCUUUUUUUUUUGAAAGAUUAAACUGGUCCUUCUGUCACUUUCGGUACUCCCUACCGUCAAAAAUCAAUUCACAUCUGUCAGAUUUUAUGCGAACUGACGAAAAUACCCCUGGCCAAAGAUAGGGGCGCACACAGCCGGAUGAACUGGCCCUUCUCUCUUUCCCCAUCGUGAACCCUACUCCGGGCGAUGGCGCGGCGCCGGCCCGCCCUGUUGCUCUGGCCGGCGCGCGGCGCUGCUCCGGGCGGUGGCGCGGCGCCGGCACGCCCUGCUGCUCCGGGCGGGGGCGCGGCGCUGGCCGGCCGUGCUGCGCGGCCGAGUGGAGCAGCUGGAGCACGAGGCCAAGCCCGCGGCGCGGAGGGGCGGGAAACCCGGCCACGUGCCCGGCCUCCGGAGGGCUGGAGGAGAAGCUGGAGGUCCGGAUGGUCGGGCGCAAAGCGGCGGCGGUGCGCCUGACGAUGGUCGCGACGCGCCACGCCCCCGUGCGCCCCAUGGGCGUUCUCCGGUCGCGGGACCUGCCGGUCCAGCACUCGUGCGUGAGCCGCGUGGGCGGCGCGGCGACGGUGCAGCCGUCGUGGACGUGCCCGCUGUGCUGCAGGACGAGGGCUGCCUCCGCCGUGCUGCAGCACGUGCUAGGUCAAAACAGCUCAAUUUUAUCCGUCAUAUUUAUUUUCAUCGGUCCAUAUGACGACAGCUAACUGCAUGCAAAGAAGAUGGAAGCUAUACAAUUUCAUACCGAUCUCGUUAGGUACUUAUGGUGUCUACGUUAAGAAAAUGGAUGAGUUGUUCCAAAUUUGUUGUAAAGUGUUGUGCUUAGAAUGUAUGUAUGUAGUGAUACAAGUACGUACUCAGGCACUUUGGUAUUUCCUUGGUUAAAAAUUGUAGUUAGCUUUUGCUUGAUGUAUUUAUCAUGAUGUACAUGAUGUAUCUCUCAUCCUUUUGCAUGCAAAUAUCCUUUUGCAUGCAUGUAUGAUAUUACUGUGCUAUUAGCCUUUGGUCUCAAUAAUUUGCUCAAGCAUGUCUCAA